CCUACGGGAGGCAGCAGUGAGGCAUAUUGGUCAAUGGACGCAAGUCUGAUCCAGCCAUGCCGCGUGCAGGAAGACGGCUCUAUGAGUUGUAAACUGCUUUUGUACGAGGGUAAACGCAGAUACGCGUAUCCGUCUGAAAGUAUCGUACGAAUAAGGAUCGGCUAACUCAGUGCCAGCCGCCGCGGUACUACGGAGGAUUCAAGCGUUAUCCGGAUGUAUUGGGUUUAAAGGGUGCGUAGGCGGUCGGAUAAGUUGGAGGUGAAAUCCCGGGGCUCAACUUCGGAAUUGCAUCUGAUACUGGUCGGCUAGAGAGUAGUUGCGGUAGGCGGAAUGUAAGGUGUAGCGGUGAAAUGCGUAGAGAUC
rnacentral:rRNA from 1 species